GGUCAGCGUGGCAAGGGUCAUUGCUGGGUUAGUGGGGUUCCCCUGGGACCAUCCAUCCUGAAGGGACAGGAAUCUGCAGCAGCCCUUUAAGGCCAUCAGAAAGGAUUCGGCAGGACUAUUGGCAGCACGAAAAACACUUGGCCAGAAGAGCUGCAUCAUGGGAAACACACCACAGACAGGAGCCUGCGAUGCCGAGCAGUUCGGGGUCCUCACUGCUGACAGGACCCAGCCCCAGCGGGGGUACAUGACUUUCCACCUACCCUGGAAGCUGGGGGUGCUGAUAGAGGUGGAAGCAGGAGAUGCCAG
rnacentral:lncRNA from 1 species